rnacentral:rRNA from 1 species
GAUGAAGGUGUGUUGAGAAGCAUGCUGGAGGUAUCAGAAGUGCGAAUGCUGACGUGAGUAACGACAAAACGGGUGAAAAACCCGUUCGCCGAAAGACCAAGGGUUCCAGUCCAACGUUAAUCGGGGCUGGGUGAGUCGACCCCUAAGGCGAGGCCGAAAGGCGUAGUCGAUGGGAAAAUGGUUAAUAUUCCAUUACUUCUGUGUAAUGCGAUGAGAGGACGGAGAAGGCUAAAUCAGCCUGGCGUUGGUUGUCCAGGUGAAAGGAUGUAGGCAUGUAUCUUAGGCAAAUCCGGGGUACUCUAUGCUGAGAUCUGAUAGCAAGCUGUACUUGUACAGCGAAGUGGUUGAUGCCAUGCUUCCAGGAAAAGUCUCUAAGCUUCAGUUACACAGGAAUCGUACCCGAAACCGACACAGGUGGUCAGGUCGAGUAGACCAAGGCGCUUGAGAGAACUCUGCUGAAGGAACUAGGCAAAAUGGUACCGUAACUUCGGGAGAAGGUACGCUGUUGUUGGUGAUGGAACUCGCUUCCUGAGCUGACGACAGCCGCAGAAACCAGGCCGCUGCAACUGUUUAUUAAAAACAUAGCACUCUGCAAACACGAAAGUGGACGUAUAGGGUGUGAUGCCUGCCCGGUGCUGGAAGGUUAAUUGAUGGGGUUAGCGUAAGCGAAGCUCUUGAUCGAAGCCCCAGUAAACGGCGGCCGUAACUAUAACGGUCCUAAGGUAGCGAAAUUCCUUGUCGGGUAAGUUCCGACCUGCACGAAUGGCAUAAUGAUGGCGGCGCUGUCUCCAGCAGAGGCUCAGUGAAAUCGAAAUCGCUGUGAAGAUGCAGUGUACCCGCGGCUAGACGGAAAGACCCCGUGAACCUUUACUGCAGCUUGACACUGAACUUUGACCUUACUUGUGUAGGAUAGGUGGGAGGCUUUGAAGCUGGAACGCUAGUUCCAGUGGAGCCGUCCUUGAAAUACCACCCUGGUAAUGUUGAGGUUCUAACUCUGUCCCGUGAUCCGGGACGAGGACCGUGUCUGGUGGGUAGUUUGACUGGGGCGGUCUCCUCCUAAAGAGUAACGGAGGAGUACGAAGGUGCGCUCAGCGUGGUCGGAAAUCACGCGUAGAGUAUAAAGGCAAAAGCGCGCUUAACUGCGAGACCCACAAGUCGAGCAGGUACGAAAGUAGGUCUUAGUGAUCCGGUGGUUCUGUAUGGAAGGGCCAUCGCUCAACGGAUAAAAGGUACUCUGGGGAUAACAGGCUGAUACCGCCCAAGAGUUCAUAUCGACGGCGGUGUUUGGCACCUCGAUGUCGGCUCAUCUCAUCCUGGGGCUGAAGCAGGUCCCAAGGGUAUGGCUGUUCGCCAUUUAAAGAGGUACGCGAGCUGGGUUUAGAACGUCGUGAGACAGUUCGGUCCCUAUCUACCGUGGGCGCUGGAAAUUUGAGAGGAUCUGCUCCUAGUACGAGAGGACCAGAGUGGACGAACCUCUGGUGUACCGGUUGUGACGCCAGUCGCAUCGCCGGGUAGCUAUGUUCGGAAGGGAUAACCGCUGAAAGCAUCUAAGCGGGAAGCCUACCUCAAGAUAAGAUUUCCCUAGGACUUUAUGUCCUCUAAAGAGCCGUUCGAGACUAGGACGUUGAUAGGUUGGAUGUGGAAGCAUAGUGAUAUGUGAAGCUGACCAAUACUAAUUGCUCGUGAGGCUUGACUAU